rnacentral:tRNA from 1 species
UUUCCUGUGGCUCAGUUGGUAGAGCAUGGUGUUUGCAACGCCAGGGUUGUGGGUUCGGUUCCCACGGGGGACA